UAGCACGGGGACGAACUACACCCAUUUUCUCACGCCUUUCAUCGAGCCAAGAAGUGACGUUGUUAAUAUAAUCAUUUCUGCGCCGAGACAAACUAGGUCUUGAAGCCGUUAAACUUGGCCUCGAAGUGCUCUGGCUAUUCCGAAUAAUCGCCUUGUCUAUUUCAAUGCUUUUACGAGCCUGUUCAGCUUUGGUUACUGAUUUGUCCUUCCGUUUGGCGAGGUUGGAAAGACGAAGUCGCUUUAUGAUCGCUGAAUCUGCUCCUUUACAAAACAAACAUAUCCUUCCGUUAGGCAUGCGUACGAUAACAGACAUACAUUUCCGUUUGCUCGUAAAUUCGAUAAUGUUCAGUAUUCGGUAUGUUUUGGCAAUCGGGUGAGAGUGUGGGUCCAAUGGAUAAUGCAAUCGGAUUGUCAAGCUGUCAAUGUCUCUAUCAAUAACAAUGUAACCUAGCUGUUGAGCUGCAUGCACAAGAGCCAACUCAUCUGGUGAAAUGGAUUGGUAUUUAUAAAUUUGAUUUUCUUCGUCAAAAGAAGGAAGGCAAGUAUGACAAAUCGCCAAAUUUAAAAGAAAAAUUCGUACCCGUUUUGAAAAAGUUGUAUGAGGAUUGUCAUGUACAUAUUGAAGCAAUUGAAUAGUGGUACCCUGAAUGUUCUCAAGCUGCGGAGG